AAACAUCUGAAAUACAAGGCAGGAAGGAGAAGGGAUCUCUUCCUGCAGAUACAGCAUGAGAAGGAGAAAAAAGCUGGAAAUGAUAAAUCAUCCCUGGAAACAUAUAGCUGACUCAUGAGCUGGAAGACAGAAAACAAGAGGGCACCUCUCCUGCACACCAUGGAGAGGAACUGCUGCCAACUGCCAACCAUCAUUCCAGGUGAGGUUGCCUGCCCUUGGGAAUCUCUUCCUCCUUUCUCUAUCCAAAACCAUUUGCAUUCUUCCUCAAAAUGUUGCUGACACAGUCUCCUGUCCCACCAUCCCCAGCGUGCAAUUCACUGCAUGUUUUUUUGAGAAAUAAAAAUAAUGCAAAUUCAAGAUGUUAAUAAAACUUACGA